CGCGGGGUGGAGCAGCCCGGUAGCUCGUCAGGCUCAUAACCUGAAGGCCGCAGGUUCAAAUCUUGCCCCCGCAACCA
rnacentral:tRNA from 1 species